UACGGAAGGUCCGGGCGUUAUCCGGAUUUAUUGGGUUUAAAGGGAGCGUAGGCCGGAGAUUAAGCGUGUUGUGAAAUGUAGACGCUCAACGUCUGCACUGCAGCGCGAACUGGUUUCCUUGAGUACGCACAAAGUGGGCGGAAUUCGUGGUGUAGCGGUGAAAUGCUUAGAUAUCACGAAGAACUCCGAUUGCGAAGGCAGCUCACGGGAGCGCAACGGACGCGGAAGCGCGAAAGGGCGGGGAUCGAACAGGAGGAGAGACCCGGGUAGUCCGGCUGACUGACG
rnacentral:rRNA from 1 species